UUUAUCGGAGAGUUUGAUCCUGGCUCAGGACGAACGCUGGCGGCGUGCCUAAUACAUGCAAGUCGAGCGGACAGAUGGG
rnacentral:rRNA from 2 species